UGGAGGCAGCAGUGAGGAAUAUUGCGCAAUGGGGGAAACCCUGACGCAGCAACGCCGCGUGAAGGAUGAAGGUUUUCGGAUUGUAAACUUCUUUGAUGAGGGACGAAACAAAUGACGGUACCUCAAAAACAAGCCACGGCUAACUACGUGCCAGCAGCCGCGGUAAUACGUAGGUGGCGAGCGUUGUCCGGAAUUACUGGGUGUAAAGGGCGUGUAGGCGGGGACUUAAGUCAGAUGUGAAAUACCCAGGCUUAACUUGGGAACUGCAUCUGAAACUAAGUUUCUUGAGUGUCGGAGAGGAAAGUGGAAUUCCCAGUGUAGCGGUGAAAUGCGUAGAUAUUGGGAGGAACACCAGUGGCGAAGGCGACUUUCUGGACGAUAACUGACGCUGAGGCGCGAAAGCGUGGGGAGCAAACAGGAUUAGAUACCCCCGUAGUCCG
rnacentral:rRNA from 1 species